AAAAUUACUGCUUUCCAGAAAUUUCCAAACGGAACAGUUGCGUCAUGGGCCUGCUGGUACAUUGACCACAGGGCCCCGCGGCUCUCCCUAUAAGUGUGAGUUUUAUAAACUCCUUAAAGUAAUUUAUUUUGUUUCCAUUCAAGGCCUUUCUCUCCCACACUGGCCCCAGACCCUGACCUCAGAGGUUCGAGUCCCCGGAGCCAAAUUCCUCUAGUUGGAAUCUAGUAAAUGAUUUAAUGGCAAAGGGGCAGGGGUUGGGGGCAGCCAAGGAGGUGAACUUUUGACAGCUUCGUGGUCAGCAGCGACGACCGCAGGAGCGCGUGUCCUUGAAGCGGGGAAGCGCCCCUUUUCCUUGCCUGACAAUACCGCCCCACACGCGAUGACGCCUUUGGAAUAGAACUGCGCAGCUCUUUGGAGACAUACGGCGCAUAUAGAGGCUAGAAAGGGAACAGAGUACCAGAGGGCCUUCCCGCUUCGGGAGCCGCAGGCUUCUUCUCUUCGGAGAGAGAGGUCUUACUCUGUGGCCCAGGCUGGAGUGCAAUGGAGCCAUCAUAGCUCACUGCAGUCUAGGACUCCUGGGCUCAAGUGAUCCUUCCGCUUCAGCCUCCCAAGGAGCUAGGACUACAGGAGAGUGCCACUGCGACAGCUUUUUUUUUUUUUUUUUUUUUUGAGAGCGGGUCUCUCUAUGUUGCCUAGGCUGGUCUCAAACUCCUGGCUUCAAGCAAUCCUCCCACUUUGGCUCCCCAAAGCGCUGCCAUCACAGGCGUGAGGAACCCAGCCUGGCUGUAACACGGCAUCACACUGUAUGACAAUCUGUAAGCGGCACAGAGAGAGAGAACCGCAGCCUCCAUGGGAACGAGGAAGUGGGAACGGGAUGAGAGUUUGGAAUCGAUCUCCGUGGAAGGUCUGAAUUGCAAGGCGGGUUUCCCUGGGGACAAUCUCAACCAUAAAAAAGUUCUGCUCACAUGACUGAUGGCUUUUCAAUAACAAGUAUAUGGCGGUCUUGAAUGUGCACAGGUUGACAGUUUUCCCGGGAGCUUCUACAUGCACGAGCUGGCAGAGUCUAGGGACAGGGACAAGGAAUGGAGAAAAUUUCCUCAACUCCUGAAGGACACAGGUGCCCAUGGGGACGUACUGAAUUUCUGCAGAGGCACCGUGAAACAGAAUCAUAAGUCAGAAGGAAAAUGCACCUAUUUCACAUUCCAUCGUGACAAAAGGGAGACGACUUUUAGCUUACCUCCUGAUUCUGCGGGUUCCUAAAAGCCAGGAUGACUGCUUUAACUUUUAUAUUUUAUUUUAUUUCAGAUGGAGUUUCACUCUUGUCACCCAGGCUGGAGUGCAGUGGUGUGAUCUUGGCUCACUGCAAUCUCUGCCUCCCAGGUUCAAGGAAUUCUCCUGCCUCAGCCUCCUGAGUAGCUGGGAUUACAGGCUCCCGGCUCACUGCAAUCUCUGCCUCCCGGGUUCAAGCAAUUCUCCUGCCUCAGCCUCCUGAGUAGCUGGGAUUACAGGCUCCCGGCUCACUGCAAUCUCUGCCUCCCGGGUUCAAGCAAUUCUCCUGCCUCAGCCUCCUGAGUAGCUGGGAUUACAGGUGCCCAGCACCAUGCCCAACUAAUUUUUUUUUUUAAUUUUUUAUUUUUAGUAGAGUUGGGGUUUCACCAUGUUGGCCAGGCUGGUCUCGAACUCCUGACCUCAGGUGAUCCACCUGCCUCGGCCUCCCAAAGUGCUGGGAUUACAGACGUGAGCCACCAUGCCCAGCCUGGAAUGACUGCUUUAUUUUCCCCUCUAUAAGUUACGAGAGUCUUCGUGUGUCAUCUCCAUGCCAGGAGCCUCAUGGCCUCGUUUUCCCGGGGGGCCACUCCCCGUGUAUAUACCUCAGACACUGCUAUUCUAUUAGAAAAACAUGUGAAGUUCUCUGAUUGGGGGAAAGAUCCAUUUCCUGCUCAUGUUGAUUUCAACAAAAGAAAGGAAUAAGUUUCCCUCUGGAUCCUCAGACUUCACUGGCUAAUCAAGACCCACCUUGCAGCUGCUCUUUGUCCACCAGAGCAAACAGCCCAGAUACCUGGAACUUCCCAGUUCUACCUGGAUUUAUGCUACUGAGCCCUGGCACCUAUGCGGGGAAAAUGCAAUAAGGAAAAAAAGGACAAACAAUGCUCCCCUAUCAGGCUGGCUGCUGAACAUCAUCAUGUAAGAAAGAUGGGUAGAGCCGGGCGCAGUGGCUCACGCCUGUAAUCCCAGCACUUUGGGAGGCCGAGGCGGGCAGAGCACUUGAGGUCAGGAACUCGAGACCAGCCUGGCCAACAUGGCAAAACCUCAUUUCUACUAAAUAUACAAAAAAAAUUAGCCGGGCAUGGUGGCGGGUGCCUGUCAUCCCAGCUGCUUGGGAGGCUGAGGCAGGAGAAUCGCUUGAAGCCAGGAGGCAGAGGUUGCGGUGAGCCGAGAAGGCACCACUGCACUCCAGCUUGGGCAACAAAAGUGAAACUUCAUCUCAAAAAAAGUUUACUAGGCAGCAAAACACCUCCUGUUGCUUGUCCCAUUCUCUAGUGGCUUCUAUCAACAGAUCUGAGCUCCUACGGAGUGUCCGGCACCAUCUGAGCUCCAGAUACAAGCUAAUGGUUAGAACAGACCUUUCCACAGCCUAGAGGGUAGACAGAGAGAAAUCUUUAGCACUGGGCAUGCAAGCACAUUUCGUUACAAAUUGUGACCAUGCUCCAAUCAAGUUCACAGGGGGCUGAAACGCCCGGGUUGUUAAUUUCCUCAGAAGGUUAUUCUAUAAAAGCCAAAGUGUUACUUUCUUGCAUUGAGAAACCAGAGCACCAAAUGCCAACUUUCUAGCUCAGUUCUCACCUUCCUUCCUCAUGUCUGCCAUGCAAUCAAACUAAGGAACGGAUGGACAGCCAGCCAUGCCUGUCAGUCCCGCAGUAGCCAGGCCUAAGAUGGGGACAGUAGGAGGAGCGUGGAGAAAUUCUACAUUGUCCAAAUCUGCUCUCUUGGCUUCCUGCAGUGGCUCUCUCAUGCCUGUAAUCCCGAUACUUUGGGAGGCUGAAGCUGGAGGAUCACCUGAGGUCAGGAGUUCAAGACCAGCCUGGGCAACAUGGCAAGACCCCUCACACCCCCCACGCCCAUCUCUACAGAUAAUACAAAAAUUAGGUGGGCAUUGUGGUGCACACCUGUAGUCCCAGCUAUUCGGGAGGCUGAGGUGGGAGGAUCAAUUAGCCCAGGAGGUCAAAGCUGCAGUGGGUUAUGACUGCAUGACAGCACUCCAGCCUGGGUGACAGAGUGAGACACUGUCUGAGGCUCUCCCAUCAGACCUGCGAGCCACAGCUUCAAUAGCCAGCACGUGGAGUGCAAGGACUUAUGGUAUCAGGUCGACCUGAGUUUCGAGCAGACACAGCUACUUCCUGGUCACAUGAGUCUGCUUUCUGUGCCUCGGUUUCCCCAUGUGCAGACGGGAACCAUCGAAGUACCUUGGGCUGACUUGAAUACUGGAGGGGAUGACGCACAAAAUAGCACUCACAACUUCCUUUAUUUCAUGGGAAGAGAGGGUUGGAUGGAUUAAACCAGGGGUCCCCCACCCCUCAGGGAGUUGAGAGACAGAAUCUCAUUCUGUAACCCAGGCUGGAGUGCAGUGGGUGUGAUCAUAGCUCACUGCAGCUUCUACCUCUUGGGCUCACUCAAUCUUCCCACCUCAGCCUCCCAAGUAGCUGGGACUACAGGCACACACUUGUGAUCCACACUCAGCUAAUUUUGGUAUUUUUUGAGCAGACGGGGUUUGGCCAUGUUGCCCAGUCUAGUUUCAAACCAGCCAGUUAGGAACCAGGCUGCACAGCAGUGGACGAGGGGCGGGCGAGCGAUGGAAGCUUCAUCUGUAUUUACAGUCACUCCUCAUUGCUUGCAUGACCAUCUGAGCUGCGCCUCCUGUCAGAUCAGCAGCAGCAUUAGAUUCUCCUAGGAGCGUGAACCCUAUUGUGAACUGUGCAUGCGAGGGAUCUGGGUUGCACGCUCUUUAUGAGAAUCUAAUGCUUGAUGAUCUGUCACUGUCUCCCGUCACCACCAAAUGGGACUGUCUAUUUGCAAGAACCCAGGAGGAGGAGGUUUCAGUGAACAGAGAUUGCACCAGUGCAGUCCAGCCUGGGUGGCAGAGUGAGACCCUGUCUCAACAACAACGACCACAACAAAAACAAACAAAAAAAGAGUCAUCAAGGAAUAAAUAAAACGGGUGACACGCUGUUUUUCUAAAGCCCAAAUAUCACGUUGUCAACCACACUUCCUGAUGACAUCUAAAUCCCCUUUGAAACUGCUUGGAAGUUUCUAGAAGAGCUCAUCCACAGUAACAGAACACUCAAGUCUAAAAGGGAAAACACAAAAUCCCCAAUUUUCCUCUCAGAAAUCAAGAUUUAAUAGCCUCCUAAGGAAACCAUAAUUUGAGGGCCAUUGGGAGCAUUACUCUCUGAGGCCUGUGAUUAUAGAAUGCCGAGAAUGAUUGGGAACUUGAACCACCAGUGAAUUUGGGCUCCAACUAAAAUGAAUGAGACCCGUGGCCAGGCACGGUGGUUCACGCCUGUAACCCCAGCACUUUGGGAGGCUGAGGCAAGCAGAUCACCUGAGGUCGGGAGUUCGAGACCAGCCUGGCCAACAUGGUGAAACCUUGUCUCUGCUAAAAAUAGAAAAAUUAGCCAGGCAUGGUGGCAUGCACCUGUAAUCCCCAGCUGCUCGGGAGGCUGAGGCAGGAGAAUCGCUUGAACCCGGGAGGCAGAGGUUGCAGUGAGCCAAGAUGGUGCCACUGCACUCCAGCCUGGGCAACAGAGUGAGACUCCAUCUCAAAACAAAACAAAACAAAACAAAAUAAAAAAUUAAAAUGAAUGAGACCCAAAGCAGAAGGUAUACCAAAGCCCCCUCACCCACACACAGACACUAAGAGGAGGCUGGGGAGGGCUCAAGGAAGUUGGAAAGAGGGAAAAUAUCACGAGAAUAAAGCAACCAUCUCAAAAAACAACAUGAGUUUCCCCACUUAUGUCUCCCUAGCCUGGCUAAAGAAAGGAGAAUGGGCCGGGCCAGUGGCUCACACCUGUAAUCCCAGCACUUUGGGAGGCUGAGGCAGGAGGAUCGCUUAAGACCAGAAGUUCGAGACAAGCCUGGGCAAUAUAGCAAGACCCAUCUCUACAAACAAGUUUAAAAACUACUUGAGGGCCUGAGGCAGGAGGAUCACUUGAGCACAGGGGUUUGAGGCUGCAAUGAGCUAUGACUGUGCCGUUGCACUCUAGCCUGGGUGAUAGAGUGAGACCUUGUUUGAGAAGGAAGGAAGGAAAGGAAGGAAGGAAGGAAGGAAGGAAGGAAGGAAGGAAGGGAAGGAGGGAGGGAGGGAGGGAGGGAGGCAAAGAAAGAAAAGAGUUACAAGGAGCUUGGCCUUGGGCAUGGAAAGGGAUUUGUGGUUAAGAGCUGGCCCCUCUUCCAGCCCUUGUACCCCCCAGAAAACCACCUCGUGUUUGGCUCACGAACUUCUGCUUCUUGGAACUCAUCUAAGUCAAAGACAACAACACCCUCUGAGAUGCUACUGACCUCAUGCCACGUAACUAUUCUGUGGCUGCCAGGAGGAACCGCCCACUCGCUCUUCUUGGGUUUACUCCUAAUUCCACGCCCACCUCACCUUGAACUUCCCACUUUGAAAUCUAAAGAUCAAAGGUGUUUCUUGGUUCUCACAUAGAAAUCCCCCCCUUGAACUUCCUUCCUAUCUGUUUCCUCAGCCUAUCUUCCCUCUGGCCGUGUAUUAUUCACAAAGAGUUCUACAGGAUACAAAGAUAAAAUUUAAUGUACUUUCCUUAGCAACCGGAAAAAAAAAAUCCCUGAAAAAUUAAACAGCAGAUACCCAAAUAGAAACUUUGCUUUAGAAAAAUGGGAUUUGACCACACACACGUGCACAGGCCACACAAACCGUCAUAACCUUGACCAGCUUAAGAGAACAAUUCUCAAGCCAGUGAGAAAACAACAGCUGUGGCCGGGCGCAGUGGCUCACACCUGUAAUCCCAGCACUUUGGGAGGCCCAGGCGGGUGGAUCGCUUGAGCCCAGGAGCUCGAGACCAGCUUAGAUAACAUGGCAAAACCCUGUCUCGGCUAGGGGUACAAAAAUUAGGCUGGGCGCAGUGGCUCACGCCUGUAAUCCCAGCACUUUGGGAGGCCGAAGUGGGCGGAUCACGAGGUCAGGAAAUCGAGACCAUCCUGGCCAACAUGCGAAACCCCCUCUCUACUAAAAAUACAAAAAUUAGCUGGGCAUGGUGGCGCGUGCCUGUAAUCCCAGCUACUCGAGAGGCAGAAGCAGGAGAAUCGCUUGAACAGGGGAGUUGGAAGUUGCAGUGAGCCAAGAUGGCGCCACUGCAUUCCAGCCUGGCAACAGAGCAAGACUCCAUUAAAAAAAAAAAUUAGCUGGGCAUAGUGGCACAUGCCUGUGAUCCCAGCUACUCAGGAGGCUGAGGCAUGGGAACUGCUUGAACCCAGGAGGCAGAGGUUGCAGUGAGCCAAGAUUGUGCCACUGCAUUCCAGCCUGGGCGACAGAGCAAGAUUCCAUCUCUAAAUAAAUAAAUAAAAUUAGCUGGGCAUAGUGGCACACACCUGUGGUCCCAGCUACUCAGGAAGCUGAAGCAGGAGGAUUGCUUGUGCCCAGAAGGUCAAGGCUGCAGUGAGCUGUGAUCACACCACUGCACUCCAGGCUGGGUGACCAAUGCAUCGCUCUCACCUCUCUCCAGGCAGCCUGCAGAAGCCAGAUAUUUAUUUGAAACCUCCAGCUUCUGCUCCUCAUGUGUAUGCAAACGUUGAGCUCAACUCCAUAAAAGUCAUGUUUUGUUUUGUUUUUUGUUUUGAGACAGGGUCUUUCUCUGUCACCCAGGCUGCCUAUCACAGCUCUCUGCAGCCUCGACUUCCCAGGCUUAACUGAUCCUCCUGCCUCAGCCUCUCGAGUAACUGGGAUUAUAGGCACACACCACCAUGCCCAGCUAAUUUUUUUUUUUUAGAGAAGGGGUCUUGCUAUGCUGCCCAGGCUGGUCUCGAACUCCUGGAUUCAAGCGAUCCUCCCGUCUCAGCCUCCCAAAGUGCUGGGAUUACAGGUGUGAGCCAUGACGCCUGGCCAAAGUCAUGUAUUUUAUUCCAUAAUAGAUGUACAUGAGGGUAAAAAUAACACUUGACUAAUGUACAGGUUGAAAUACAGAACAUUUGCACCACCCCCAUCUUUGAAUACUAUUUCAUCCACCCUACUCCAAUUCCAAGAGCAAUGUCGUGGGUGUCUUAGCAAUCAAGGAUAGCACCUCCAGAACAAAAACGCUGUGAAAGUCAAAGAGAAGUUCUGUUUAUACUAACAAAGGGCUGGAAAUGUCUAUUGGUUGUGGGUUGAAUAAGUAAAUUCCAAAUGAACGUGACCACAGAAGAAACAGAGAUUCAAAAUGACCCCCAAGAAGUAUUACUAAGGGAGAACGCCAAGAGCCAGGCGCAGUGGCUCACACCCGUAAUCUCAGCACUUUAGGAGGCCGAGGCGGGUGGAUCACCUGAGGUCAGGAGUUUGAGACCAGCCUGAUCAACAUGGGAAAACCCCAUCUCUACUAAAAAUACAAAAAUUAGUCAGGUGUGGUGGUGUGUGACUGUAAUCCCAGUUGCUCGGGAAGCUGAGGCAGGAGAAUCGCUUGAACCCAGGAGGUGGAGGUUGCAGUGAGCCGAGAUUGAGCCAUUGCACUGCAGCCUGGUCAACAGAGACUCUGUCUCAAAAAAAAAAAAAAAAAAGUAAACAAGAGUGUCUCCUCUCCAUAAACAAAUUAACAGGAGAAACUCAGCCCCACUAAAACACACACAAAUUUAGGAAAUUGACAAAAACCUAAGAGCUGAGAAAAUAUGGGUUCUGGAGUCUCAGUGUUUGGCAUCAAGUCAUGGCUCCACUUUCUCCUCGCUGUGCGACUCCUGGAGGGGAACCUAGUGUGCCUGGUCCUCAGUUUCCCUGUCUGUAGAAUGGGCUGGGAAAAACUAUGCAGAUUCUUGGAACCAGGGUGACACAAGCAAGGCACUGGCCUCUGGCAUAAAAGUUAAGGCGUGCCAAAACCGUCUUCAAGAUAAGUUAUAUAUAUAAAUAUAUAUGUAUAUAUGGAGAGAGAGAGACAGAGACAGAGAGACAGAGAGAGACAGAGUCUUACUCUGUGGCCCAGGCUGGAGUGCAGUGGUACAGUCUCAGCUCACUGCAGCCUCUGCCUCGCGGUUUCAAGCAAUUCUCCUGCCUCUGCCUCCCAAGUAGCUGGGAUUACAGCCACCCACCACCAUGCCCAGCUAAUUAUUAUAUUUUUAGUAGAGACAGGGUUUCACCAUGUUGGCGAGGCUGGUCUCUAACUCCUGACCUCAAGUGAUCCGUCCUCCCAAAGUACUGGGAUUACAGGUGUUGAUCAAACUGUUCUUGAUACAAUCAGGUAAUUCCAGAAAAAUUGUCCCCUUGGGGCCUGCUUGUUAGUUGGCUGGUUUGUUUGAAAGAGGAUCUCGCUCAGCUGCAUGGGCUGGAGUGCAGUAGCAAGUCACAGCUCACUGCAGCCUCGACUUCCUGGGCUUAAGCGAUUCUCCCACCUCAGCCUCCCAUGUAGCUGCGACUACAGGUGCAUGUCACCAUGCCCAGCUAAUUUUUAUAUUUGUAGUAGAAAUAGGCUCUUUCUGUAUUGCCCAGGCUGGUUUUGAACUCCUGGCCUCGAGAAUUCCUCCCACCUUGGCCUCUCUAAGCACCAAGAUGACAGGUGCGAGGGAGGCACUGCGCUGUCUUAUUUAGCAAUAAGCUACAUUCCAUUUUCAGGAGGUGACGCUGUCAUCCCACUGCCAGUACAAUCCAGGUAAGGAUUUCACUCCAUCCUCUGUGUUUUCCAAAGGAGCCGGUAUUUGAAAAGGACGUGCAUUCCACCAAGCAUUCUUAACGACCUGGGCCUUUGGGGUCAGGUAAGUUCCAGAUUUUAUUAUUAGUAACAAAUUAAAUUGACUAACAACAAAAGAAAAGUGCACCAUCAAUGACCCCUCAGGAACCAAAACAUGCACAAUCCCAUUGACACAGGGACAGAGUAAACUGCUCAACAGCUGACUCUACUCCCACAGACUGAAAGCUGCAGGGUCAGGGCCGGCAGCCGCGGAGAAGGAAGCUGUCCCCGUCAACACGGUCUGGAACAAUCCACAACGCUUAUCAGGGGAGAUACCACAGGCAAGAGGGAACGAAAACACUUCUUCUGCCAAAUAGAGCUUUGGAGGGAAUAUCGGUUUGUCUGGGGCAGGACUGGGUCACGGGCUACACGCCUUCUCCUUGUAUUCUCACGAAUUCAACACCUGGUAAUGCCGGGGCCGUUUCCCAAGUCACAGACUCAGACUCUGGGGUGGAUAAUUCCCCCAUCACUGUUAUCUUAAAGUAGGGUUUCUCAGCCUCAGGACUGGUGGUAUUCAGAGUCGGAUCUUCAUCUGGGGAGGGGCCGUCUUGUACAUUGCAGGGUGCUGAGCAGUAUCCCUGGCCUCCACCCACUCCAUGUCAGGAGCAUCUCCCCCCACCCCGACGUGUGACAACCACAGAUGUCCCCAGAAAUAUCCAGACCCACCCUAGGGUGAGAACCACUUGGUGAGCGAGACUCUUGCCAGAGCCAGAGGGAAAUCAUCAAAGCCGAUGGGGCUGAAAUGGUUAAGUUGGUCCAUCUGUCUGUCUGUUCAUCAGGCCCUGAUUUAUAGCUUUGGGGGCUCCAGCACCCCAUUCCCCUGGCUUCCCCACAGUCACACUGCCAUUCCCCAUCAUCCCCGGGACCCAAGCCCUGCGAUUCCCGCUCAGCUCCCACCUAGCAGACACAUGUUGAAUCGAAUGCCCAUUCAUCUGUCCAAGAUUUGCUGAGGGUCUGCCAUGUUUUGGAGGCGCUUCAAUAGCGACAAGACAUCGUGGACCUUGACCUCAUGGUGCUUCCAGUCUAGCAGGCAGGCAGGCAGAAUCAGAGAGAAAAUUUUUCUUUAAAUUUAUUUUUGGGUUUUUUUGAGAUGGAGUUUCACUCUUGUUGCCCAGGCUGGAGUGCAAUGGCAUGAUCUCGGCUCACUGCAAGCUCUACCUCCCGGGUUCAAGCGAUUCUCCUGCCUCAGCCUCCCAAGUAGUUGGGACUACAGGCACCCACCCCCACGUCCUGCUAAUUUUUUGUAUUUUUAGUAAAGACGGGGCUUCACCAUGUUGGCCAGGCUGGUCUCGAACUCCUGACCUCAGGUGAUCCACCAACCUCAGCCUCCCAAAGUGCUGGGAUUACAGGUGUGAGCUACUGUGUCCAGCCAGAGAGAAAGUUCCAUCUGCUUCUGUACCACCCUCUAGCAGCCCUCUCCAGCCCCGCCCCCUCAGUGAAUUCCUACAGCACACAAGGAUCCCAGGCCAGCAAUUAGAGUCCUUUUUCAGCUCUGUUUAAAAUGUGAGGCUUAGAAUAACAGUGAAGAUGCUUUAAACCACUACAGGGGGCCGGGCGCGGUGGCUCACGCCUGUAAUCCCAGCACUUUGGGAGGCCGAAGUGGGCGGAUCACGAGGUCAGGAGAUCGAGACCAUCCUGGCUAACACGGUGAAACCCUGUCUCUACUAAAAAUACAAAAAUUAGCUGGGCGUGGUGGAGCACGUCUGUAGUCCCAGCUACUUGGCAGGCUGAGGCAGGAGAAUCGCUUGAACCCGGGAGGCGGAGGUUGCAGUGAGCCAAGAUCGCACCAUUGCACUCCAGCCUGGGCUACAGAGCGACUCCAUCUCAAAAAAAAAAAAAAAAAACAAACAAAAAACCCUACAGGGCACUGCAGGAACCCACCCUCCAUAAAGUAUGCAAAGAAUUAUUAUGCAGCAUUCACUUCCCCUUUGCUUCUCUCCCCCAAGGAAUGCUCAAGAUAAAUUCUCUCUUGCAGGUCCUUUAUUUAUCAAGCCAAACAGCAUCUCAGAGGGAUAAUUUAUGCAACAAAGGUUGCAAAUCAUUUGCACAUCUUCAAAGUAUUAUUGUCCAUAGCCCAGUGCAUGAGCGCCUCUAAUUGUCUACAAAGAAAAGCAACACCUUCAACAACUCACGUCCAGCAGAGAAAGACUUCAGACAGGAAAAGUCAAAUCACAAGUUAAAAAGUCAGAACUGGCUGGGCACAGUGGCUCACGCCUGUCAUCCCAGCCCUUUGGGAGGCUGAGGCUGGUGAGUCACGAAGUCAGGAGUUCGAGACCAGCCUGACCAACAUGGUGAAACCCCAUCUCUAGUAAAGAUACAAAAAAUUAGCCAGGCGUGGUGGUGCACGCCUGCAAUCUCAGCUACGCGGGAGGGCUGAGGCAGGAGAAUCGCUUGAACCCGGGAGGCAGAGGUUUCAGUGAGCAGAGAUUGUGCCAUUGCACUCCAGGCUAGGUGACAGGGCAAGACUUUGUCUCAAAAAAAAAAAGGAAAUGGGAUACAGACACUUUAACUUCCCAAAACCCAGACAGGUUGGCUGUUAGCAACCUGGGCGAGAAGUCUAUGAACCAGCUUCACAAUAAAUGCCUUUUAAGGAUGGCUAUGUGAUGAAGGUGUUUUCUCUUUGUGAUUAAACGCCUUACUCAUCUGAAGGGGGAAAUUCCAUUUAAGAAGUGAACCAGGUAUGAGAAGAGACAUUUUCCCCAGAGGGAGGCAAUGACCUCUUUCCUCCCUGGGGCUCGGAACUUGUUUCUUCACACGUCCUCCCAGAACUCUAGUUCUUAUUCCCCCCUGUGCUGGCCCUCCAUAAACAUUUGCUGAACAAAUAAACCCAUGAUGGAAGGCAAGAGAAACUUCAAGACAAGACGGCUAGGCCGCCGACUGCCUAACUGGAGGGAACCAGAUGUUAGCAUUAAAGUUAAAAGUUAAAAGCCUUCCCAAGGUCACCAAGCGAGGUCUCUCUAACCUGGCCUGAGGUCCUCAUUCUUCUCUACCCUGUUUACCCAGGAUGGAAAAAUGACAUUCUCUGCUGGUGGGCUGGUUGUCCACGUGAGAGAUUUCAACACAGCGUUUGGAGGUUUUAAACCUCUAUCAUCGCUGCAGCCCAAGGAACAAAAUCAGGGGCCAGGUAUGCAUUAGGGGAUUUGCAAAUGCUGUCUUAUUUCAUCCACUCAAUGACCAUAGAGGAAGAUAUGAUGAUGACUUAUCCCUCUUUUUAUAGAUGAGGAAACAGAGAUGUUCAGUAGUUCCAAAGUUCCUUCCCUUCCCUUUUUUUCUUCCCUCCCUCCCUCCUCCCUCCCCUCCCUCCCUUUCCUUCCUUCCCUCCCUCCUUCCUUCCUUCUUCCCUCCGUCCCCACCUCCUUCCUUCCUUCCUUGUUCCCUCCCUUUUUUUUCCUUCCUUCCUUCCCCUCUCCCUCCCUCCUUUCUUCCUUCCUUCUUCCCUGUCUUCCCAGCUUCUUUCUUUCUUCAGGGUCUGCUUCUGUUGCCCAGGCUGGAGUGCAGUGGUGCAAUCAUAGCUCACUACAGCCUCGACCCCUGGGCUCAAUGGAUCUUCCUGCCUCAGCCUCCCGAGUAGCUGGGGCUACAGGCACACGCCACUGUGCCUGGCUAAAUUUUUAUUUUUUGUAGACAAAGGUCAUACAGCAAAGAAGUGGAAGAACUAGGAUUCGAACCCAGGACCAUGGGCUCUGAGUCUGUGCUUGUUCAUGGAAGCACCAGCCAGUUCAGACACUCCCAGGCCUUGCCCAGAUGGUCAAAUGCUUCAAACAAGGACACCAGGGAAGGUCACUGUUCCUCGUAUUUAUGCCCCUUGUGUCACUGUCUAUAUCUGGGGUUAAGAAUCACUCCAAAAACACCACAAUGAUCUCCCAGACUCUCAAUUCCAGCAGAGCAGACAGCCGUCCCCACCACCACCCCCUCCACCCACUCAGUCCUCUCUCGGUUCCACUUCAGGAUGACUCGAAAGACAGAAAAAGACUCAAAGCAAAAUGCCUAAAGCUUGGAAACGCCAGCAGCCCCUGAAAACUACCGAGCUUCCUUUUCCUGUAUUUAUUUAUUUAUUUAUUUAUUUUUUUGAGAUGGAGUCUUGCUCUGUCACCCAGGCUGGAGUGCAGUGGCAUGAUCUUGGCUCACUGCAACCUUCGCCUCCCGGGUUCAAGUGAUUCUCCUGCCUCAGUCUCCCGAGUAGCUUGAAUUACAGGCGCAUGCCACCACGCCUGGCUAAUUUUUGUAAUUUUUAGUAGAGACAGGGUUUUACCAUGUUGGCC
rnacentral:lncRNA from 1 species